UCCGAGUUGACCCCGGCAGUCUCCCAUGAGUCCCCGCCAUUACGCGCUGGCAACAUGGAACGAGGAUUGCGCUCGUUGCGGGACUUAACCCAACAUCUCACGACACGAGCUGACGACAGCCAUGCAGCAUCUGUGCGCGCUCCCUUGCGGGUCCUCGCCCUUUCGGGUCCGUACCACGCGCAUGUCAAGCCCAGGUAAGGUUCUUCGCGUUGCAUCGAAUUAAGCCACAUGCUCCGCCGCUUGUGCGGGUCCCCGUCAAUUCCUUUGAGUUUUAGCCUUGCGGCCGUACUCCCCAGGCGGAGUGCUUAAUGCGUUAGCUGCGGCACAGAGAGGGUUGAAGACCUCCCCACACCUAGCACUCAACGCUUACGGCUGGGACUAC
rnacentral:misc_RNA from 1 species